CCAGUUGCGAAACGAAACCAUUAUCUCGGUGUUACACCCUCUCAAACUCUCUAUUCUUUUCGCACAACCUGACACCCUUGCCGGAGAAGCUAGUCGUCGCCGGAGAAGAAGCCGACGUCACCGGAGAUCGAGAAGACGACCGGAAUUCACGUCGAACACAAACCGCCACGUUCGGUAUACUCUCUAAUGCUCCCCAAUCCAUUUCGUUAUGUUUUGUUUUAAGAAACCUUAACAAGAGUUUAGAAAUCACGAACAGAGGGUGGGAGGCUUCGUGUUCUUGUUCGGGUUGGGUUAAAACGAUCACCUCGAGUCGUUUCGGAAAUUAUUUCGUUACCGUGUCGAUUCGUUUUGAUUAUUAUACUUAAAACAAACUGAGAAUUAACGAGAAUGAAGUAAAAGAGACAACUCCACAAUGUUCAGUUUGGUUUCGACGUUUCUGUUCGGUGGGUUAUUUUGUAGAAAAUGAUGAUUCUGUUAAUCAAUAUUUAAAGCUUAAUAAAACAACAUCAGACGCAGAGAAACCAUAUCCCAAACGGCUGAGGUUGCUGCGGAUGGACUUGAGGUCACGGGUUCGAUCCGGUCUGACCUGUUUUCUUUGGGGAUUUUUAUUUUAGUCCUUUUUCAUUUAAAUUGACUUUUUUUCUUGUAUUUUCAAAAACUGAUGCUUUUGAUUUUCAAUUCCUUUACUUUAUUUUAAUUAAAACCUUAAAUUCUAAAUCCAUUUUUACUUAAAACUCUUAAAUGCUAACUUGUUUUCUUUUUAUUAAAUCUCUUAAAAUGUCUUUAUACGAAAAUAUUAAAAAGAUUAGUUAAAAUUCCAACUAAAUAGUGAUGGAAUUAAAUUGUAAACCUUAAAUAUUAGGAAUAUUAUUUGACGAGAUCGUAUGUGGUAUUUCAAUAUCUAGGAUAAUCACUUUGCUCGUUCUUUUGGAUUUCCAAUCCUUACUCGUUCGUUCUUACAAGAAAUCGCAACGCAAUCUAAGGUGAGUAUACAUGACCCAUUUUCGUUUUACACUUUUGGGUGCAAUAUGUAUUCUAUAUCAAACAUCACAAUCACAUCAAACAUUUUAUGCACACUCUAUCCAUACUCUAUGUGAUACAUUUUAAUCAUGUUAGACAUGUUAUGCUACUGUAAACACUCAUAACUAUGUGUUCAUUAAUUUCGUACAAGCCUCCCCUAACAAUGGUAGCGCUAUAGGUUGAGAAACGCCCCUCUCGUUAUAUUAACGAGUAUUGUUAGGUUAAUCUAUGUUAAAACCACCCAUACUCUUUUGGGUAGGCACUUUAAUUGCGUUAAACUUUGGUUUGGACACGUAGAGUAACAUCGUUUCGAGUAUACUGUCAAUAUGAUAUUGUAUUUCACAUUUGGAUAUGAGUAACAUUUUAAACACGUACUAUGCUAUGUAUGAAAACUUGUAUACUCGCCAACAUGCUUUUGUUGACUUUAUUUUAAUACAUAUUGCAGGUUGAAUGAUCAAGAAAACAAGAAUCAAGCUAGGAUGGACAUUAGAAACCCACUUAGCAUUUUUGAUUAUUGUUGAAUGUUAUGUUUAUUUAUUUGGAACUAUGUACCAUACUUUACAAUUUAUGAAAUGAAUUUAAUAAUUUAUUGUC
rnacentral:lncRNA from 1 species